CGGUAACAGGAAGCAGCUUGCUGCUUCGCUGACGAGUGGCGGACGGGUGAGUAAUGUCUGGGAAACUGCCUGAUGGAGGGGGAUAACUACUGGAAACGGUGGCUAAUACCGCAUAACGUCGCAAGACCAAAGAGGGGGACCUUCGGGCCUCUUGCCAUCAGAUGUGCCCAGAUGGGAUUAGCUAGUUGGUGAGGUAACGGCUCACCAAGGCGACGAUCCCUAGCUGGUCUGAGAGGAUGACCAGCCACACUGGAACUGAGACACGGUCCAGACUCCUACGGGAGGCAGCAGUGGGGAAUAUUGCACAAUGGGCGCAAGCCUGAUGCAGCCAUGC
rnacentral:rRNA from 1 species